rnacentral:rRNA from 1 species
AGUGAACGCUGGCGGUAUGCCUAACACAUGCAAGUCGAACGGCAGCACGGUAAGAUCUUGCUUUUACCGUUGGCGAGGGACGGGCGGGUGACAAGUAGAUCACCAUCUUAUAUUUCUGGGGUGAUUACGUGGGGAAACUGAUGCUAAUACCUAACACGUUCUACGGGUGGAAGCAGGGGAUCUUGGGAGCUUGGGCGACUGAAAUAGCCGAUGUCGCAUUAGCUAGUUGGCAUGGUAACGGCCCACCAAGGCGACGAUCCGUAGCUGAUCUGAGAGGAUGAUCAGCCACACUGGAACUGAGACACGGUCCAGACUCCUACGGGAGGCAGCAGUGGGGAAUAUUCGACAAUGGGCGCAAGCCUGACCCAGCAACGCCGCGUGAGUGAAGAAGGCCUUCGGAUCGUAAAACCCUGUUGUUGGGAAAGAACAGAAGCAGAUUAAUCCCCGCCUGUUUUGACGGUACCCAAACAGUAAGCACCGGCUAACUUCGUG